UAGCGUUAUUCGGAAUUUUUGGGGGUAAGGGGCGCGUAGGCGGAUUAGUAAGUUAAAAGUGAAAUCCCAAGGCUCAACCUUGGAAUUGCUUUUAAAACUGCUAAUCUAGAGAUGAAAAGAGGAUAGAGGAAUUCCUAGUGUAGAGGUGAAAUUCGUAAAUAUUAGGAGGAACACCAGUGGCGAAGGCGUCUAUCUGGUUCAAAUCUGACGCUGAGGCGCGAAGGCGUGGGGAGCAAACAGGAUUAGAUACCCUGGUAGUCCACGCUGUAAACGAUGAAUGUUAAAUAUGGGAAGUUUUACUUUCUGUAUUACAGCUAACGCGUUAAACAUUCCGCCUGGGGACUACGGUCGCAAGAUUAAAACUCAAAGGAAUUGACGGGGACCCGCACAAGCGGUGGAGCAUGUGGUUUAAUUCGAUGCAACGCGAAAAACCUUACCACUCCUUGACAUGGAAAUUAUACCUAUUCGAAGGGAUAGGGUCGGUUCGUCCGGGUUUCACACAGGUGUUGCAUGGCUGUCGUCAGCUCGUGUCGUGAGAUGUUGGGUUAAGUCCCGCAACGAGCGCAACCCUCAUCCUUAGUUACCAUCAGGUAAUGCUGGGGACUUUAAGGAAACUGCCAGUGAUAAACUGGAGGAAGGUGGGGAUGAUGUCAAGUCAUCAUGGCCCUUAUGGAGUGGGCUACACACGUGCUACAAUGGUGGCUACAAUGGGCUGCAAAGUCGCGAGGCUAAGCUAAUCCCUUAAAAGCCAUCUCAGUUCGGAUUGUACUCUGCAACUCGAGUGCAUGAAGUUGGAAUCGCUAGUAAUCGUGGAUCAGCACGCCACGGUGAAUACGUUCUCGGGUCUUGUACACACUGCCCGUCACGCCAUGGGAAUUGGUUUCACUCGAAGCUAACGACCUACAAGGAAGGAGGGAGUUAUUUAAAGUGGGAUCG
rnacentral:rRNA from 1 species